rnacentral:rRNA from 1 species
UCCAGACUCCUACGGGAGGCAGCAGUGAGGAAUAUUGGUCAAUGGACGAGAGUCUGAACCAGCCAAGUAGCGUGAAGGAUGACUGCCCUAUGGGUUGUAAACUUCUUUUAUAUGGGAAUAAAACGUUCCACGUGUGGGAUUUUGUAUGUACCAUAUGAAUAAGGAUCGGCUAACUCCGUGCCAGCAGCCGCGGUAAUACGGAGGAUCCGAGCGUUAUCCGGAUUUAUUGGGUUUAAAGGGAGCGUAGGUGGAUUGUUAAGUCAGUUGUGGAAGUUUGCGGCUCAACCGUAAAAUUGCAGUUGAAACUGGCAGUCUUGAGUACAGUAGAGGUGGGCGGAAUUCGUGGUGUAGCGGUGAAAUGCAUAGAUAUCACGCAGAACUCCGAUUGCGAAGGCAGCAUACCGGCGCUCAACUGACGCUCAUGCACGAAAGUGUGGGUAUCGAACAGGAUUAGAUACCCUCGUAAA